ACGUAGGAGGCUAGCGUUAUCCGGAUUUACUGGGCGUAAAGCGCGUGUAGGUGGUUUCGUAAGUUGGAUGUGAAAGCUCCUGGCUUAACUGGGAGAGGUCGUUCAAGACUACGAGACUUGAGAGUGGUAGAGGGAGGUGGAAUUCCGGGUGUAGUGGUGAAAUGCGUAGAUAUCCGGAGGAACACCAGUGGCGAAAGCGGCCUCCUGGACCAUUUCUGACACUCAGACGCGAAAGCUAAGGUAGCAAACGGGAUUAGAGACCCCGGUAGUCUUAGCUGUAAACGAUGUGAACUUGGCGUCGGUGGGUUCAAAUCCAUCGGUGCCGAAGCUAACGCGAUAAGUUCACCGCCUGGGGACUACGGCCGCAAGGUUA
rnacentral:rRNA from 1 species